GACGAACGCUGGCGGCGUGCUUAACACAUGCAAGUCGAACGAAGAGCUACGGAAGCUUGCUUCUAUCAAUCUUAGUGGCGAACGGGUGAGUAACGCGUAAGCAACCUGCCCUUCAGAGGGGGACAACAGUUGGAAACGACUUCUAAUACCGAAUACGAUCUAACCUCGGUAUCGAGGCUAGAUAUAAGGUAGCCUCUACAUGUAAGCUAUCACUGAGGGACGGGAUUGCGUUUGAUUAGCUAGUUGGAGGGGUAACGUGGCACCAAGGCGAGGAUCAGUAUCCGCGCAGAGAGGAGGAGCGGCAAAGCUGGGCUUGAGACACGGCCAAGCACACUAGGAGAGGCAGCAGUGGGGAAUCUUCCGCAAAGGACGAAAGUGUGAAGGUGCAACGCCGCGUGAGUGAUGACGGCAUUCGGGUUGUAAAACUGUGUUAAGCGGGAGGAAAGGACUUCUCGCGAACAGUGGGAAAGAUUGACGGUACCGGAAUAGAAAGCCACGGCUAACUACGUG
rnacentral:rRNA from 1 species